UACAGAGGUCCCAAGCGUUGUUCGGAGUUACUGGGCGUAAAGCGUGCGUAGGCGGUGUCUUAAGUUUGUUGUGAAAUCUCCCGGCUUAACCGGGAGGGUGCGGCGAAUACUGAGAUGCUGGAGUGCCGGAGAGGUAAGCGGAAUUCCUGGGUGUAGCGGUGAAAUGCGUAGAUAUCAGGAGGAACACCUGCGGUGUAGACGGCUUACUGGACGGUAACU
rnacentral:rRNA from 1 species